ACUCCCUUCGGGGAGUGUAUAAAGUGGCGCACGGGUGAGUAACACGUAGGUAAUCUACCUUUGAGUGGGGAAUAACAAUCGGAAACGAUUGCUAAUACCGCAUAAUGCAGCGGCACCUUAUGGUGACAGUUGUUAAAGGAGCAAUUCGCUUAAAGAGGAGCCUGCGGCAGAUUAGCUAGUUGGUAAGGUAAUGGCUUACCAAGGCUACGAUCUGUAACCGACCUGAGAGGGUGGUCGGUCACACUGACACUGAAUAACGGGUCAGACUCCUACGGGAGGCAGCAGUCGGGAAUUUUGGGCAAUGGGCGAAAGCCUGACCCAGCAACGCCGCGUGAAGGAUGAAGUCUCUAGGGAUGUAAACUUCGUAAGAAUAGGAAGAAUAAAUGACGGUACUAUUUGUAAGGUCCGGCUAACUACGUGCCAGCAGCCGCGGUAAUACGUAGGGACCAAGCGUUGUUCGGAUUUACUGGGCGUAAAGGGCGCGUAGGCGGCAAUUCAAGUCAGUUGUGAAAUCUCCGAGCUUAACUCGGAACGGUCAACUGAUACUGUCUUGCUAGAGUACAGAAAGGGCAAUCGGAAUUCUUGGUGUAGCGGUGAAA
rnacentral:rRNA from 1 species